rnacentral:snRNA from 1 species
GUGCUCGCUUCGGCAGCACAUAUACUAAAAUUGGAACGAUACAGAGAUUAGCAUGGCCCCUGCACAAGGAUGACACGCAAAUGCAUGAAGCAUUCCAUUAAAAA